rnacentral:tRNA from 1 species
GCCCGGAUAGCUCAGUCGGUAGAGCAGCGGUAGCUGUUGAUCUGUGUGAAUCAGACUGCGACAGUUCGAGUUUGAAGCGAAAGCUAGCAACAGUAUCAACAGCUACCGCGGGUCCAGGGUUCAAGUCCCUGUUCGGGCGCCA